rnacentral:sRNA from 2 species
GCCAGAGCCAUGAAACUACCCAUUUUGGUGCCACCGUACGGGUGCUGUUGGAGUAUACUACAGCCACCAACCCAACCACCCGAUGUCCUGGAUGGAUUGAGCAAUCCAUAAAGAAAAAAUCCUUGAAGUUCUCAGAACAUCUCAUACAGCAUAUCUUGGGCAUUAUAUCUGGGAGCUAAAAACACCACCUACACUUACUAUUUGAAAUUGACGUAAGUUACUGCAGUCCUCUCUGUAACCCUGCCUCCCUACUUUUUGAAAUGAAUUAUAUCAUGCAUCUAAGCUGGAUACCUGAGUAUCGAGGAGAAAUGGAAAGCCGUAAAGCAGUAAAGGGGCUAGGAAGGGACUUGCACAGUACAUUUUGUCAAGUUCUCCAUUCCGAACAUCCUGUUUCUAAAAUCUAAAUGAGUAAGAG